GUUUGUAGUUUGUACUUGGCCUCAGGGUAUAUGCUAUGGUACUUUUGUGGCUCCCAAAAAAGACUCCAGAAACAUCAAAGAUGUAAAGAAAAACUACAAAAUUUGAAAUGAAUGAUAUUCUUAGGGAUCAAUAUAUAUCAAGUCCUACAGCUCUAAUAUAUAGAUAGUUUGAUUUUUAUGUGAGAGAGAAAUAAAUAAAUAGUUUUUCUA
rnacentral:lncRNA from 1 species